rnacentral:rRNA from 1 species
AUGAACGCUGGCGGCGUGCCUAAUACAUGCCAGUCGAGCGAACAGACGAGGAGCUUGCUCCUCUGACGUUAGCGGCGGACGGGUGAGUAACACGUGGAUAACCUACCUAUAAGACUGGGAUAACUUCGGGAAACCGGGGCUAAUACCGGAUAAUAUAUUGAACCGCAUGGUUCAAUAGUGAAAGACGGUUUUGCUGUCACUUAUAGAUGGAUCCGCGCCGCAUUAGCUAGUUGGUAAGGUAACGGCUUACCAAGGCGACGAUGCGUAGCCGACCUGAGAGGGUGAUCGGCCACACUAGAGCUGAGACACGGUCCAGACUCCUACGGGAGGCAGCAGUAGGGAAUCUUCCGCAAUGGGCGAAAGCCUGACGGAGCAACGCCGCGUGAGUGAUGAAGGUCUUCGGAUCGUAAAACUCUGUUAUUAGGGAAGAACAAAUGUGUAAGUAACUAUGCACGUCUUGACGGUACCUAAUCAGAAAGCCACGGCUAACUACGUG